CGGUCACCGGGUAUAGCCGGUAAGAGGUCGCUCUUGGUGGGUUCGUGUGGCGGCAAUAGAGGCAAGUGUUACCGGUAGUUCAGGUUGCUCUAAUCAAUUUCCUCCUCUCCACGGGUUCGAAUUCAACCCCUGGUUCUUUCUCAACUCUUCUUUCUCUCUCGGUCUUUGGAAAAUCUCUGGUAUUGAUUCUCUGUUUCCUUUCCGAUUCCUUUUGGAUCGGACGGCUUGGUUCCUCGAAGGUAUUUGCCUUGCAGAAUGAAGGAGUCCAAGGGCAAGAGAACGUCAAAGGUCUCGAAAGAAGCUUUGAAACCAGUGGAUGA